CAAGGAGCCAAGACAGUUCCACAGGACUGUCUCAGCCUGCUAGAGAGACAAUGGACAGAGCAGUUGUUUGCAGGGACUGACAUGAGAUGGUUGGUACAACUUUCUGCUGUGGAAUCAUACAGCAAUAACCAUGGGAGCUUUGAAGGUGAAACCUCUGGCAGCAAGGGGAGGUUCCCAGAAGUGGGUGUGACCUGGCCACAGGAGCAGCUCUGCAGAAGAGGAAGGCCUGUCCCUCCCCAGCCUGGAUGGGACUAGCAACUGGAGCCCAAUGCAUGGGGCACUGAACCAUUGGCAUCAGCGGGAGCUGAUGAGAACUCAACAAACUUCUGAAUUAGAAAUACACUGGAGACUUCCUUUGAAAUGUCUGGAGCAUGGAUGGCUUAUUAGAAACCCAUUUUGGGUAUAUGGCUGCCAAAACCAUUUACUGCACCUACAGCCAUCGCAUCACUGGGUUUGAACAUGCCCUGGCUGGUGAUCGCUGAAGUAAAAGUUGAUGCACACAAUAGACCGUGGAGAGCUCUGAAUUACAGAGCUGCAGUUUAAUGCAUGGAGCCCUGCAAAGAAGGAUGGUCUUGUGGUUUGCAGGUGGGCCUAUGCACAC